AGUAGAUCCCGCUCAGUGAGCUGCUGUGGUGCGCUGCGCCUGCUAUCUGACUGGUUCGCGAAAAGAGGAAACGGUGGUGACGCGGUGUGUUUCUCCAAUCGUUCGUCGACGGUUAUAAAACGGUUGGGUGCCAAUUUUGCCCAAUUCAUUUACGUACCGACCGCGCAACGGUCGGCAGCAUCUAUCUAUCUGUCCUCUCUUCUCGCGGGGAUUUAUUUCGUUCCGGUGGGGAUAGACAUCCGUCCGUGAAGCGUGUUCGUGUUGGGUCACCGUAGACUUCCACGUGAUAAGCAAGCCCGGUGUAGUGUAGCGUAGUGCAGCCCGAAACGCUUCUAGCAUAAUACUAGUGAUGUUACAAACGCGGCGGCAACCAGUGGCCAAACGAAGGCAGCCAGGCUGUGCGCCGGGCAUUGUGAUAGUUGUCUGUCUGUUGGUCGGCAUUCCGUCGACCGUACGGGCAGCAGCCCUUGUAGCGAAAGAAGUUUCCUAUAUCGUUGAUAACCGACAGCUCGAGGCGCUCGAGCCUUCUUGUAAGAGUGAAAUCUACUGUCAUGGAGAUCUGCUCAAGACGGUGCAGAUGAGCGAGAUCUACCCCGACUCGAAGACGUUCGUGGACAUGAAGAUGCGCCAAUCGCCGAACGAAACGCUCGACGCGUUCCACGAGUUUAUGACCGCCCAGAACAACAGCCCGACGAAGGCGAAGCUGCGAGAGUGGGUAGAGCUGAACUUUGACAAGCCGGGCGCCGAGUUUGAGGUCUGGACGCCCGAUGACUGGACGGCCAAGCCGAAGUUCCUGGAACGCAUCAAGGAUACUGAUUUGCGCCAAUUCGCAUCGGAUCUGAAUAAAAUCUGGCACGAUCUGGGACGUAAAAUGACGUCGGAUGUUGCGCUCAAUCCGGACCUUUACUCCAUCAUCCACGUUGACAAUCCGGUAAUCGUGCCGGGUGGCCGUUUCCGGGAGUUUUACUACUGGGAUUCGUACUGGAUCGUAAAGGGACUGCUGCUGUCCGAAAUGUACACCACCACCAAGGGCAUGCUGGAGAACUUCCUGUCGAUCAUCCAGCGGUACGGGUUUAUCCCGAACGGAGGACGUAUCUACUACAGUAUGCGCUCGCAACCCCCGCUGCUGUGCGGUAUGUUCAAGGCGUACGUCGAAGCCACCAACGACACCAAGUUUGCGAUGGACAGCGUAGAGAUUCUGGAGCGUGAGUUCCAGUUCUUCAUGAACAACUACGUGACGGAGGUGAACAAUCAUCAGCUGGCGACGUAUGGGUACAAAUCGAGCGGCCCAAGGCCAGAAUCCUACCGCGAGGACGUGCUCAGUGCGGCCAUCUUCGAGCGUGAAGAGGACAAGCAGGACUACUACUGCGAGCUUAAGGCAGCCGCCGAAAGUGGUAUGGAUUUCUCGAGCCGUUGGUUCAUCAAGGAUGGUACGAACUCGGGCAACCUGACCGAUCUCAAGUGCCGCUCAAUCGUGGCAGUCGAGCUGAAUGCGAUCCUCUACUGGAACGCUCUGAUUAUCGCUGAGUUCUACGGCUACAGGAACGACAUCAAUUCGAUCGCGAAAAAGGAAGAAUAUUUGGCGAAAGCGGACGAGCUGAAGAAGGCAAUCAAUGCGGUGCUGUGGGAUGAGCAGGAAGGUGCUUGGUUCGAUUACGAUCUAAUCAACAAGAAGCUGCGCAAAUACUUCACACCAACGAAUCUAUCGCCCCUGUGGGUUGGCUGUUACGAUCGGGCGGAUAAGGGUCUGGCGAAGCGCAUCCUUGCCUACAUCGACCGGCUGCAGCUUGACCAGUAUCCGGGCGGUGUGCCGAACACGCUGCAGAACACUAACGAACAGUGGGACUUCCCGAACGUUUGGGCUCCGAUGCAGCACAUGCUCGUGAUGGGGCUGGAUUCGCUGGACAACGCCGACGCAAAGGAGCUUGCCUUCCGCUGGGCACAACGUUGGGUACGGGGGAACUAUCUGACGUUUAACAAAACGAGAGCCAUGUUUGAGAAGUACGACGCACAAGAGCUCGGUGGACAUGGCGGUGGCGGUGAGUACGACGUGCAGACCGGUUUCGGCUGGACCAACGGUGCCGCAAUGGAUCUGAUGAACAAGUACGCCGACCGACUGACGACAGGUGCGAUAGAGUGAGCCCGGAAGGGAGCCGAACCCGUCCAUCCUAAAACCCUUCACGCGAUUCAUUCGAUCGUUCGCACUUCCUUCCGAUUUUCAACCAAUGUUGUGCCGUUGUAUGUGUCCCGCACUCUCUUCCACCUAUCGCCAACGUCCGACUCCGACCAGUGCCGGACUGCGCACCAAACAUCAUUCUCAUUAUGAUCCCUCAGCUCGGCGGGAUAGAGAGCGAAGGAGUCGCGAUUCACCCUCACGACACUCAUCGACACUCGCAUUUGUUUUAUGUUCGGUUUUUGUUUCUUUUUCCGGUUGUCGGAACACACACACACAUUAUUGAUUUCUGUUUAAGAUCUGACAAAUGAAGCGCGACUAGCACGCGCCGAUGCAAAAAAAAGAUAACACGUGAGGGAGAGGACCGUUAGGUUUAGGGAUAGUACAAAAAGCAAACACGAAAAUGACAAACGGGGCUCUUUUCUGUGUGAACUCACAGUAAAAAAGGGGUCCGAAUGGGAGCCUCCUAGUGGCAGUAUAACCAUAUUUAUUUGACAACAGUUACAUCUUGCUUGCUUACUGCAAUUUUACGACAACAUUGAAUGUACCCUUCCCUGUUUUUUUGUAAGUGUUUCGAUCGAUUUCGAAGGGGAAGCAUUUUAAGUUCAUGCAUUAUCUACUAUUAUCAAACAUGCCUGUAUGUGCCAGGAUGAAGGAGUGUGCAACGCAACAAACCCCCUCCCCAGAUAGUGUGUAGUGUGUAGGGUAGAAGCUGAUGUGAUAGUUAGGAUUGCAAAAAAAAACCCCGUUGCUUCAAUUUGCAACCAAGAACCUAAAAAGGAAACGAUUUUUGAACAAAUUUACACCCUCUUUCGCAUAAAAUUCUGUGGCAGACAAGAAGAGAGACAACGAUGGUUCGUUGUGGCCUUGGUUGCUCAGAAUCGAAUAGGAUUUUUCCUGAUGGUUUUUCGAACGCCGCCAGUGGCAACAAGUGGAGUGGUGUGUGUAUUUGUAGUAAUGCGCAUGAAAUAAACGCAAAGCAUAGUUGCAACAACAGAGAACGGAAUGAAUUGGCCAAAAACAUCCAACAAUUCAGGUGCGAACCGAAAAGAAAUUGGGAACUCAUCUGUGUACGUCCAUCGAAGGUGUAACGUGUGUUCUGUCCAUCAUCUGCAUCGUUCCGUUGUGAUGUGCUAAAUUUCGUUCCUCAUCAUCUUUACGCCACCCGUCGUCACCUUCCUCAUGGAACUAUUUCUGGAUCGUGAUGAAAAUGCGGCAGACGCCGGAAAUGGAAACGGUGCGCUGGUAGCAUACUCCAUCAAUACCGGCAUUCUUGCCACCAUUAUCGCAUUCUUUGUUGGCGUGUUCGGGUGAGCUGAAUCUUAACCGUUGUAUCAUCCUUUUCAUCCGUUUCCGGAACAAACACACACUUCACUGUGCAAUAUUAACCGCACGAGAAUAGGUUGGGCAGGGAUAGUCGGCAGCCUUAACCCAUUGAAUUUAUGUCUCAAUGUGUGUGUGGUUUUCCGCUGUUACUGCUGCUCCUGCAUCAUAUGUGAUAACCUGUGGAACAAAAAACCCCGAAAGAAAAUUAUCAUUCCCUACUCCUUUCUCCUUAUUUUCCUGAUCGAACAUUCCCUUAACAUCCCCCCCAAAAAACCGAGGAAGUAGUUUACCAAGUAUUAAAAAUCACGGUCAUCGUGUUGCGUGUCUCUCUCAGCAGGAGGCAGGAAAUGCGCCUCGAUUAACUCGCGAUCUGCUGCUAAUUACUAUCGUAUUAUGGAUGCAUGGACUUAAUAAUAUCCCAUAAAAUACGCGCGCGUUACAUAAAAACAUAGAUCGAC